rfam:Pteropus alecto contig7058, whole genome shotgun sequence.
GGCUCCAUAGUUCAAUGGUUAGCACGUCUGCUUUACACGCAGAAGGACCUGGGUUCACGCCCCAGGUGGAGCCA